rnacentral:tRNA from 3 species
AUAGUUGAAAGGUGUUAAAACAGUAUUUUAAAGGACUGAAAAUCCUCGUGUCGGCAGUUCGAUUCUGCCUCUGGCCACCA